CCUUCGUGUUACUGCUCCCCAGUCACUUACUGCAGGAAGCGCCAUCCACGGGGUGCAGUACAUCCCACCGCUGCCACCAGUUGUCACGGAGUCCCUGGGCGAUGCUCUGGAACUGCUCCCCAUGAAGCCAGUCAGGACUCUGGGGUAGUCGCCUUUCUGUGAGCAGACUGUCUUCAGGACACACAGCUCACACAGCUUCCACCUUCCUGGGUCUGACCUCGGAGCAUUCAGCAUCCUCUGCCUCUCCGUGUGCUUCCCCCAGCGAGUCCGCUCAGGCGGUGCUCCUGGGGAAGCCAGAGGGUCCUGCACCCCAACUUCGCAGUCAGACGUGACUCUCAGCCAGCCAGUAAAACAGAAGGUUUAUUAGACGACAGGAACAUGGUCUAAAACAGAGCUUGCAGGUGCAGAGAACGGGACCCCUCAGCUGGGUCCAUUCUGGGGGGCAGUGAGCCAGAUAACCACGUCUGCACUUCACUCCAUGUCCCAGCCAGCCCCAAACUGAAAACCCCCUCCAGCCCCUCCUCCUCUGGGCUUUGUUCCUUUCCCGGGCCAGGAGGUCACCUGAUUCCUUUGUUCUCCAACCCUUUAGCUCUCACCUUGCAGGGGGGAAGGGCCCAGGCCAU